rnacentral:rRNA from 1 species
CUACGGGAGGCUGCAGUUAGGAAUAUUCUACAAUGCGCGAAAGCGUGAUAGAUUGAGUCAGAGUGCGUUUCAAAUUGGAAUGCUUUUGCCAAAUGUAAAAAGUUUGGCGAAUAAGGACUGGGUAAGACGAGUGCCAGCCGCCGCGGUAAUACUCGCGGUCCAAGUCGCAGCCAUUUUUAUUGGGUCUAAAACAUCCGUAGCUUGCUUCUUAAGUUCCUUGUGAAAUUUUAUAUCUUAAAUAUAGAGCGUGCAGGGAGUACUGGGAAGCUAGAGACUGGGAGACGUAAGAAGUACAUUCAAAGUAGCGGUUAAAUGUGUUAAUCUUGGAUGGACUCACAAUAGCGAAGGCAUCUUACGAGAACAGUUCUGACAGUAAGGGAUGAAGGCUAGGGGCGCAAAACGGAUUAGAUACCCCAGUAGUC